AUUGCGUUAGGGAUAGAAAUGGAAAGCUUUUGCGAUGAAAACCGUAGUAAUACUGCAACGAGGAAGCGACCAGCGGAAGCUCCCGCAGUGCUUGUAUUACUUGGUUUUUAUUGCAAAACUUGAAAUGAAUAGCCUGUAAUACG
rnacentral:sRNA from 1 species